GACGAACGCUGGCGGCGUGCCUAAUACAUGCAAGUCGAACGCAGUGGGGACGGGUGAGUAACACGUGGUUAACCUCCCAUCAGAGGGGAUAACACUUGGAAACAGGUGCUAAACUGAUACUGAUGGAUGGACCCGCGGUGCAUUAGGUAGUUGGUGAGGUAACGGCUCACCAAGGCCACGAUGCAUAGCCGACCGGAGAGGGGGAACGGCCAACCUGGAACUGGGACACGGCCCGGAUUCCUACGGGAGGCAGCAGUAGGGAAUCUUGGGCAAUGGACGAAAGUCGGACCGGGCAACGCCGCGUGAGUGAGAAAGGUUUUCGGUUCGUAAAACUCUGUUGUUGGGGAAGCGGUAUCUAACCAGAAAGCCACGGCUAACUACGUGCCAGCAGCCGCGGUAAUAC
rnacentral:rRNA from 1 species